AGCCUAAACCAACAGGGAGCAUUAACCUCUUACAUUAGCCUUUCCCGCGCUUGUAUGCUACAGUUGCUAACAUGCUAAUGUGCCAAAUGUAAUUAACAUCACAACUUUUACAAACUGCAUUGCUGCAAGUUGGUAGAGUAUUAAAAAUACACACACAUGCAUUUAUCUAUGAUAGAUUGCAAUAAGUCCUCAUUCAGGUGGUAAAACUCUGCAUUAACCACAUUAGAGACAUAUCAAUUGUAAGACAUGUUAACGUGGGCUAGCAUGCUAACACGCUAAUCGCUGUUAGCACCACACACUACAAACUGCAUCAAAUUGGUACAGUGUUAAAAAUACACACAUAUUUGCCUUCUGCAAAUUGCACUAAAUAUCAAGUGAUAUAACUCUGAAUUCUGCCAAAUAGCCGUGUCUACUUUCCCUCCACGUUAUGUCCUACAGUGUUGAUUCUGCACAAAAGGCUAAAACUUGAAUUUAAACACUGAAUAAGAGCCUAUUACGUGUCUUUAGUAGAAUAUAAUUCCUUGUAGACUAUUAACUUGGAAAACAAUCUACAGCCAAAGGAUAUUCAUACAAUAACAUCAUUUCUAAUAAUUACCCUGUAUAGCUCACAAUUUAUUCAUAAUAUAACAAAUUAUGAAUUAAUUAUCUAGCCUACUAAUGGUUUUUUCAUGAAUAUUUCAUAAUUAAUUAAUGAUUUAUAGAUGACUUACAACAUAUUUGUGAUAUGUUAACACAGCAUUAAUUUAUCAUUUACAGUUAAGUGACAGUACCUUCUUUACAAUACAGUCCGUACAGAAGAGUUUUUACAGUAGAGUGACAGUGGGGUCUGUACAUAAUACUCUACAGAGGAGUUUUAGAGUAGUGACAGUAGAGUCUUUACAGUAGAGUGACAGUUUUAAUUAAUCAUUUACAAAGGUAUAUUGUUUUGUCUAUGAUUAGUUCAUUAUUAACUAAUGUAUUUAUAAAUGACUUACUACCGAUGUUAUUAUAAAGUGUUACCCAUGGAAAUUAUAAAAGUCAGUGAUUAAAGUUAAUACAUUUAAUGGUACAAGUGUCUUCUUCAAUUUAAGCCAUUAUCUAUCAUUAUCAUUUAAGCCAUUAUCCAUCCAUUAUCUAUCUAACAUUAUCUAUGGAGCUGUGAUGUUCACAUCUGGUGUUAUAAAGCAGAACAAUACAUUUACCAGAACAAUACAAAUUUAGGCAGUAAUAGGCCCAGUUUGGCCUCUGCAUUAAAGGGCUAACAUUAAUAACUUACUCUUCACAUCCCCUUUCUAGGAGCACUAUUAAAGUACACGAUUGGUGUACAGGUCACAGGUGCCAGUAAACACAGCUCCCACUGUUAGUCCAUCAACCACCUCUACUCCUGGUGCAGAAAGUGGUCGUAUCACCCAAGAAGCAGAUAAUGCUGCAGGUCCAUCAACUUCCACCUCUACUUCCAUCUCUGGUGUCAUCCAAGAAAGCUCUAACAAUGCUGGUUUUUAUGUACCUAUUGAAGUGGAGAACAGUGCCACCAUGCCUACCACCACACCUGGCUCUCCAGUUUCUACUCCUCGAGUGGAUCCAACUGACUGGCCAUCAAUCAGUCAUCAGUCAGUCAGUUUGUCCAGUUUGAAUUAUUCUAAAGUGACCCUCUGUGAGCAACAACUAACCUGUACUAACUAAUGUACCUACUGUAAGUUACUGGACAUGUCCUCAAUGAUUCAUUUCACUUGUUCUACUUCAGAUGCUUAAUAGCGAAAUAAUUGAAACACAAAAUAAAAAUUUUCAAUGAAUUUUCAACAGUUUUUUUUUUUUUUCAAAAUAGCAUUAGGUGGUAUAUUGUAGACAAAGCAUAACAUACUAAGCGGGUAGAUUCCAGUCUGAAAAGUGAAGCCAAUGCGGAAGUGCCUUAAACCCAGGCCUGGACUGGUAAUCAGGAGCACCGAGAUUUCUCCCAGUAGCCUGGCCUGCUAAAUGGCCCAGUAGGCCUGCUGCACUUUUUUUUUUUGGACCCUGAACGCAACACUGCCCUGUGUGCUGUGCCAGCCAGGCAUGGCAGAAGUAGAGAAUGAGUCGAGAGAGAGAGAGAGACAGAGAGAGAGAGAGAGCAGUUGGCAGUUGCCAAGUGGGUAGCAAGAAGUGCCUUACACCCACAUUCUU